rnacentral:rRNA from 1 species
UACGUAGGGUGCAAGCGUUGUCCGGAAUUAUUGGGCGUAAAGGGCUCGUAGGCGGUUUGUCGCGUCGGGAGUGAAAACACCGGGCUUAACUCGGUGCUGGCUUUCGAUACGGGCAGACUAGAGGUAUUCAGGGGAGAACGGAAUUCCUGGUGUAGCGGUGAAAUGCGCAGAUAUCAGGAGGAACACCGGUGGCGAAGGCGGUUCUCUGGGAAUGUCCUGACGCUGAGGAGCGAAAGUGUGGGGAGCGAACAGG